GAUGUAGCGCAGCUUGGUAGCGCGUUUGUUUUGGGUACAGAGGGCCAUAGGUUCGAAUCCUACUUG